UACGUAGGUGGCAAGCGUUAUCCGGAAUUAUUGGGCGUAAAGCGCGCGCAGGUGGUUCCUUAAGUCUGAUGUGAAAGCCCACGGCUCAACCGUGGAGUGCCAUUGGAAACUGGGGAACUUGAGUACAGAAGAGGAAAGUGGAAUUCCAAGUGUAGCGGUGAAAUGCGUAGAGAUUUGGAGGAACACCAGUGGCGAAGGCGACUUUCUGGUCUGUAACUGACACUGAGGCGCGAAAGCGUGGGGAGCAAACAGG
rnacentral:rRNA from 1 species